CCUGACCCCCAGUUUGAGAACCCCUGGACUAGAUGACCUCCUGAGAUCUCUUCCAACCCUAAUCUAUGAAGCUGUCCAGGGCCCUGUUUACAGAGAAAUGCAGCCACACUACUGCCAUGCUCAGACAGCUCAACUGGCUCCCACAUUCAUUUGAAGAUUAGUUCAUUAUAACAAAAGGAUGCACUCUGCACGACCUUGGGAGCCUUUGACCAUUGGGAAAUCAAAAGGGUGGUGACACUAAGGAAAACUAUUGUCCAGAAAAAUAAGCCUCUCCAAGGGGCACCAAGAAUCCACAAUAAAAUCCCUGUUUCCAAGAAAAUUCAGGCAUUUCCAUCAAAAAAGACUGUGUUUGCAGGACUGGUCCAGAGUGUCCAUGAGAUUCUAAGGAAAAACUAUUCUCAUAUGACUUUUCUUCAUUAACUACAUUACUUAAGAGAAAUACAUAAUCGUAAGACUUGCAAUUUUCACUUCUUUUCUUUUGUGCAUCUGGAUAGUUCAACACAUUGCAGUGAGCAUUUCUCAGAAGGUCAGAAAAUAGUAUUAAUUCUUGAAGGAAAGAGAAGUGGAGGAGACAGUCCAAGGGAAUCUUGAACCUAGCAGUUAGGCUAUGAAUCAGUAACCAAGCUGAGACAGAACACAGGAAACUAUCUGUAACACUGAAAAGAAAAAAGAGCACUGAAAAAAAGUAAUAUUGCCCUAUGUUCUUCUCUGCGUGUGUGUAGGUAUAUAGCUAAAUUAUAUAAAAUGCCAAGUUUCUGUAUAUCCGAUACAAGGAAAAUAAUUAAACCUAAUAUAUUCACAAUAAAUUCUGAAUAUAAUAUAUAAGUAAACAUUACCACCAUGUAUACAAUUUAAUGCCUCACUUAAUCUUCACAAUUGUUUUCUUAAUUUAGGACAAAAUAUUACUAUGGUAAAUAAUGUGUUUUACUAAUGUAACUAUUGUGUGCAAUAAUCUAUAAAUCAUAUGUGCAUUUGAAAACGCCGUCCACAAAGUGAAUAACUUUCUUCUCAACUAAUUUACACAGCCUGAAUACUAUCAGUGGACAAAGCUUUAUAUUAAAUAGUCUUCACAGACAUUUUCUGUGAUUUUUACAUUUUUGUAGUAUGUGAUAUAUUUGCAAUACUAGUGGAUUCCAUUCCAAAAAGAAAAGUUAAAAUUUAGCAAAAGGGUGUAAAAAUAAUGUUAAUACCAUUUAACCUUAUCUGUGCAACAUUUUCAUAUGGAUUUAUUUCACUGUCUCUAGUCUGUUUGUUGAAAGUAUAACUUAUUUUUUAACUGACAGAAAACAGAGAUGCGUAAUCCUUUUUCAGUAUUGUGCAAAGCCAGUUGUUCUUAUAUAUUUUCUUCUUUUUGUGUCACUUGGAAGAAGAAUAACAUUAUGAGAGCAACAAAUGUUCCAUAGAAAAUAAUUUCAGAUAUUAAUGCAGAGCAUAUGCUACAUGCUAUUUGUAUGUAUUAUGUAAAAAAUAAAUACUUUUGUUGGAUACUUUCUCUGUGGUGUGUGUCCUUCUUAACAAUAUUUA